UACGUAGGGUGCGAGCGUUGUCCGGAAUUAUUGGGCGUAAAGAGCUCGUAGGCGGUUUGUCGCGUCGACUGUGAAAACCCGAGGCUUAACCUCGGGCCUGCAGUCGAUACGGGCAGACUAGAGUUCGGUAGGGGAGACUGGAAUUCCUGGUGUAGCGGUGGAAUGCGCAGAUAUCAGGAGGAACACCGGUGGCGAAGGCGGGUCUCUGGGCCGAUACUGACGCUGAGGAGCGAAAGCGUGGGGAGCGAACAGG
rnacentral:rRNA from 1 species